rnacentral:rRNA from 1 species
GACCCGUAGCAAACAGCUCAGUAACACGUGGCCAAACUACCCUAUGGACGAGGACACCCUCGGGAAACUGAGGCUAAUCCACGAUACGGCUCCCACGCUGGAAUGCGGGGAGCCGGAAACGCUCCGGCGCCAUAGGAUGUGGCUGCGGCCGAUUAGGUAGACGGUGGGGUAACGGCCCACCGUGCCUAUAAUCGGUACGGGAUGUGAGAGCAAAUAGCCCGGAGAUGGAUUCUGAGACAAGAAUCCAGGCCCUACGGGGCGCAGCAGGCGCGAAACCUUUACACUGCACGCCAGUGCGAUAAGGGGACCCCGAGUGCGAGGGCAUACAGUCCUCGCUUUUGUACACCGUAAGGAGGUGUACGAAUAAGGGCUGGGCAAGACCGGUGCCAGCCGCCGCGGUAAUACCGGCAGCCCGAGUGAUGGCCGCUGUUAUUGGGCCUAAAGCGUCCGUAGCCGGCCGAACAAGUCUGUCGGGAAAUCCAUCUGCCUAACAGAUGGGCGUCCGGCAGAAACUGUUCGGCUUGGGGCCGGAAGAUCCGAGGGGUACGUCCGGGGUAGGAGUGAAAUCCUGUAAUCCUGGACGGACCGCCGGUGGCGAAAGCGCCUCGGAAGGACGGACCCGACGGUGAGGGACGAAAGCUGGGGUCUCGAACCGGAUUAGAUACCCGGGUAGUCCCAGCCGUAAAC